GCCAUUAGGUACCGAUAUGAGAUCCUCAGACCCCUUGUGAGACCAUAUGCUGGUGCGGUUGGUACUGGGUUCCUUUUAAUGCAAGACAAUGCUAGACCUCAUGUGGCUGGAGUGUAUCAGCAGUUCCUGCAAGACUGUUCCGCCUGUUCCCCAGACCUGAAUCCAAUUGAGCACAUAUGGGACAUCACGUCAUGUGUUUUUGUUUUCAUGUGCUGGAUAUAAACUUCUGUACAUAUCAACAUAUACAUAGGCUAAGUUACCC